rnacentral:rRNA from 1 species
AACGAACGCUGGCGGCAGGCUUAACACAUGCAAGUCGAGCGAGACCUUCGGGUCUAGCGGCGGACGGGUGAGUAACGCGUGGGAACGUGCCCUUCUCUACGGAAUAGCCCCGGGAAACUGGGAGUAAUACCGUAUACGCCCUUUGGGGGAAAGAUUUAUCGGAGAAGGAUCGGCCCGCGUUGGAUUAGGUAGUUGGUGGGGUAAUGGCCCACCAAGCCGACGAUCCAUAGCUGGUUUGAGAGGAUGAUCAGCCACACUGGGACUGGGACACGGCCCAGACUCCUACGGGAGGCAGCAGUGGGGAAUCUUAGACAAUGGGGGCAACCCUGAUCUAGCCAUGCCGCGUGAGUGAUGAAGGCCUUAGGGUUGUAAAGCUCUUUCAGCUGGGAAGAUAAUGACGGUACCAGCAGAAGAAGCCCCGGCUAACUCCGUG